rnacentral:rRNA from 1 species
ACUGCCGGUGUUAAACCGGAGGAAGGUGGGGAUGACGUCAAGUCCUCAUGGCCCUUAUGUCCAGGGCUACACACGUGCUACAAUGGCCGGUACAAAGGGCUGCAAGACCGUGAGGUUGAGCGAAUCCCAGAAAGCCGGUCUACAGUUCGGAUUGGAGUCUGCAACUCGACUCCAUGAAGUUGGAAUCGCUAGUAAUCGCGGAUCAGCAUGCCGCGGUGAAUACGUUCCCGGGCCCUU